AAAUGUAUGGUCAUCCUCACCUGUGCCUUGAAUCCAAGGCUAGCCUGGGCUACAUGAAGCCCUGUCUCAAAACAAACAAGCAAACAAAAAAAUAAAACAAACAAACAAAAACAACUUCAAACCCCAAACCAACCAGCCAAGCAAUAGCAACAGAAAAGAUCUUAGUCUGAGACCGAGAAACAGAGCUGGAGAGGUGAAGAAGGGACCCUAUUGCCCCAUCCAUCCAUCCAUACAAGCCUGAUUGCUCGCAGCGGCUUAACACGGCAGGUGCCCAAUGAAUGUUUGUGGAGCAAGUACUUAGCUCUUUCUUAAUUAUGUGAUUUCUGUUUUUAAAUCAAGAUAGUCCACACACCAGAACAGUCAUUCUUUAAACGUAAUGUCUGAGUGGGUUUUAAACUCGCAAGACUGUGCAGAUGUUGGCCCCACCUCACCCUAGACCUUUACCAACAACACCCGCCGAGUCACUCCCAUUGUUGACCCACUCCACGGAUGACAAGCGCUAAUUGUCUAUUAUUGGUCUAACUGUCUGUUCCAGAUAUUUCAUAUAAAUGGAGUCUUUUGUAUCUGGCAUCUUUUCUUUACCAUAAUGAUAUAUAUAUAUAUAUAUAUAUCACAUAUAUGUAUGUAUUAUAUACACUUACUAUAUAAUAUCUAUUAUAACAGUAUAUGGCUGCUUUUAAGAUUGAGUAAUAUUCUAUUGCAUCAAAACCAAAUGAUCUGCAGGCUAGUUUUUCAAAUGCCAACGAUUUGCUAGCUUUCCCAUCAUACACUGGCAGAGCUGGGAAUGUCCCUCAGGGGGAGCUAGGUCUUUGGGGUUUGUUUUUACUGUAGUGUCAGAUGCUUUUUACAGAUCUGGCACCCUCGGCACCCCAGGUUUCCAGGCCUUAAUCAGACUGAAUCGGAUCCUUGGUGUUGUGUGAUCUGAGUUGCUGCUGGCAGCUGCCUGCUGGCAGGACUCCAGGGGGCUUCCUCCCCACCCCACUGCCCCCUUCCAGGGUUGCAGGGAGGCCUAUCUGGCUGUCUGGAACAAUAGAACAAAGAGGGCUCCCUGAGCUGCAGAAACCUGUUUGACAGAGAUUGCUGUAGUCAUGAAUCAAGCUGCUGAAACUACUUCCAUCUCCUCCCUGUGCAAACACCCUUGGGCCCUGGAGCUCGGCCUUUUCUCCCAAUCCCAAGCUGAGGCUUGUCCCUGGGGAGCGGAGCAAUGUUGGGAGCAGAGGUCAGGAACAUGGUCUUUCAGCAGCAGGGGUGCCUUCACACUCAGGGCUCCAACUGAAAGGUGCUUUGAUGAAAGUCCCUCCCCUUGACUUUGUGGUCAGGCAACGUUUACCUGCUGGGCAGUGCAGUGGUGUGCACCCUGGGCCCCUAAGGCCAGGUUGUGGUCCUGGAGAGUACAUUCCAGCAAACAGGUAGUUAGAUUCCUUUCCUCUUGCUAAUAGGUCACCCACAACCUUAUGCCUAACCAGACUGCACCCUUUCUGAAAGAGGAAGGUGGUAAGUCCCGGAUAGCAGAUGCUUCUUACAGAACUUCUGUGUUGAGGAGCUGUGAAGAGAUGGCCACCUUAAUCCUGAGGCCACUCUGUGAUAUGUGUGUGGCGCUUGUUAUUUAUUAAUCUGGUGGUGGAUGAGAAAAGCUAGUCUUAAAGACUAACUAAUUAAACCACACUGCCCAGCGUCUCUAAGCCAAGGUUGACAUUGUAACCAGCCCUUGCGACAUCCAGAUGCACCAGGAGUAAUGACAAAGGUGGUAUUGAUGACCAUCACUGCCACAACAAUUAAACAAGCUGAAGGAGGAUGCUGAGGCUGAAGGAGCACUGAAAUGGACUGUGGGCUGUCAGGCUUUCUAGCCUACACCCUUAACCACAAGGCAGGCAGACUUCUGCACCUCUCAGGUGACAUCUGACAGUCAGGUGCUCAUUCAGUGUGUCUCCCUCCUCCUGUGCUGCCCUUCUUUGUCUUCAGCAUUUGAACCACGGAAAGGAUCGACACAGAUGGUUCAGUGGUGUGCAUAAGCUCACACAGGGUUAGGGGCACGGUAGGAAACUGAGUUGAUGUUUGCUGAGCCCCCCCCCUUGGGUGUGGUCCUCUCUGAUACCACAUCCCAACAGUGCCGCAGCUGGAGGCAGGCUCCAAACUUGUGUGGUUUUGCUGCAGGGCUGAGGGGAAGGAGUAAGGGCUGGUAACUCAGAAGACCAAGCCAAGGGACUGAGACAGGAGCUGAGCCACUUGGCAGCUCGAGGGUCCCAUUCAUGGCCAGUCAUCUUCCUCAGGCCCACUGAUGUUCCUCAAUACAGCACAACAGCAGUGCCUGUCUGUUCAGUGACCUGGCCCCCAAGAGCUCUCCUUACAGUUCUGCCCUUUCCAGCUGGAGUUUGUGUUCUCCUCCGGUGGCAGAGGGCUAAGACAGGAAGGUUCUCUCUGAUGAGAAUACACUUCCAUUCUCUGGGCCCUGGAGGCUGCUCUUGCUGUGAGCUUUCAUCUCUGUGCCUGUAGGCAGGCCUGGCUGGGAAGGACUUGAGGGCAUUCCCAGGCCUUCCGGACUUGCUCCCCUCCCCCCUCUGCAUUCACCUUCUCUUCAGCGGCUUAUGCUCAGAGUAGAGCUCUGCGACAGGUUUGGAAAUGAAAGGCUCUUCCUUGCGGCUCCCAGAUGCAUCUGCAUCUGCAUCGGGCUGACAUCUUUACGGUAUCUGAUGAAAGGUUUGCCGAGCGGUGUUUCUACAUGAGCGCGCGCUGGAUGGAACCCCUCCAAGGGCAUUGGGAAUAUUCACACUAACAAGCUAGGCACACGAGGAUGGCUGCUGUCUGCAAGCACUGAACAGAUUUAGCCACAGGCCCUGGAAGGAUGCUCCAAGCCCUGCUGCACCUGAGCUUUUUCUGCCCUGAGAUUCUUGC
ensembl:sense_intronic